AGUGUACCUGCUUUUAUAUUCAAUAUAUAUGUAUAUAUUUUCUAUUUAUAUUUGUUAUGAAAGUAAAUUGUAAUAUCAUGUUAUACGGAUGAAUAUAGGCCUCCUGUGGAACUGGAAAUUUAAAACAGAUCAGUAACACGCCUAUAUUGCAUCCUUAGAGGUGAUACAUGUUCACAUACAAGUUGUUAAACCAUGGAUAAAAUGAUUGAAAAUUCAUUACUAAACAGAUGACAAG